UUUUCGUAGGUGAACCUGCGGAAGGAUCAUUACAGAGUUGCGACUCCUCCGGGAGCCAUCUCCACCCCUUGACUACCAACAUUGUUGCUUUGGCGGGCCGCGGCCCUGCUGCCGCCGGCCCCGGCUGGCGAGCGCCCGCCAGAGGCUUUUAAAAAUCUUACUUGCAAUGAGUCUGAGCGAAAAAACAAUGCGAAAAACUUUCAACAACGGAUCUCUUGGUUCUG
rnacentral:misc_RNA from 1 species